rnacentral:rRNA from 1 species
UACGUAGGGUGCAAGCGUUAAUCGGAAUUACUGGGCGUAAAGCGUGCGCAGGCGGUUUUGUAAGUCUGUCGUGAAAUCCCCGGGCUCAACCUGGGAAUUGCGAUGGAGACUGCAAGGCUAGAAUCUGGCAGAGGGGGGGUAGAAUUCCACGUGUAGCAGUGAAAUGCGUAGAUAUCUGGAGGAAUACCGGUGGCGAAGGCGGCAUCCUGGACCGACAUUGACGCUGAACGGCGAAAGCUAGGGGAGCAAACGGG